GAUCCUGUUGACUAGGUUGACCCUCAUUUGACAAGUUUUCAAGAUUUGGAUCCAUCCACUAUGGAUGGAUCCAGAAAAGCAAAAGGCUAGCAGCGCUAUUGUUGCUGGCUCUUCAAAAGCAGGACCUUCAAAGGUUUCAAUUCCAAAGAAGAUCUGCCUGUUUUGGCUACUCCUUGUGCUUAUUGUCCACACGGGAGCUCACAGGUUGUUGUGUUACUUCCAGACGAAGACUUAAAUCCUGCACCCCUCUCCUGGAGCUAUCACGACCCUUCUAUAGCUAUUGUUUUUUAGCCUGCUCCCAGAUCUGCUACUAAUUCGCUAGCUGUUAUGGAGGCCACUCAGGCAGAGGUAGUUGAAGAGACUGAAGCACAACCUGAGACUCCAAUUGGGAUUCAGGUAGAGGUUGAAGAUACUGGCUGCUUAUCUUCACCAGCUUCUUCUGAUUAUUCUAACAUUUUCUCAGUCCCCACUGAUGAUAAUGUAGGGAAAUAUCUCUAGGAGGGAGAUUCAUUUUCUUCUAUGCCCAUAACUGUAAAAGAAACUAUUCAGGAGGAAGAUGUUCUAGCUUAAUCUCUUUCUCUUGUGGCUAAACAAAUAAUUAUCCCAGCAUCUGAAGCUGUGGAACCUUCUUCUAUCCCAGUCCAUGAGACUGAGGAUGUCCCUGAACAAGCAGAGCAAGCAAUCAUCCUUACUACUGAAGUUGAGGGUGAUACUAAACAACCCAAUGUUCCAACCAUUGAGGUCUAAGGCAUUGUUGAUGAGACAUCCACUCAUAAGUUCCAGCUAGCAACGCUCCCAUUAAUACUUAAUGGGUGAGGAUCCCAGCACUGCUCUAAUAAUCCAGUUGAGGAUAAUUUUAAACUUAUUAUUAACUUUUCCUUUCCUCCUUUCUUCCUUUUGUUGCAUAUCAUAAGGAUAUUUCUUCUUUAUAAGGAACCAAAACAAGGGCAAACGGGCAGAAUAGGGCCCACAAUCAGAGGAACCUUUUUUUAUCGGACAAAAGGUAGACGAAGUGAUUAUCCUCCCAGCAAACUGGGUCAAUUGACCUAAUGGCAUCUGUGGAUAGAUUUUGAUGAGGUCAUUUCUUCAAAUUUAUCAUCCAUACUUUCUUUAUCUUAAUUAUCUUGUUUUUCUAGCUUAACCUUGCUUCUUCGCUUUUAUCUAGUUGGUUACUUCUAGAUUUCUAGAUCUACGUUCUCUAGUGAGGAGAACAUAUCAUUCUGAUGUUCAGAAUUUCCGCAAGAGAGUUCAAGCUCAAUAGAUGGAAAUCAACACAUUUCAGGCUUAAGUAGAAAAUCUCAGGUCCAGAAAUCAAACUUUGGAGACAGAAUCAACCUCCUACACUGUUGAACUCGGGAAUCUGAAAAGUAGGAACCGAUUUUUGGAAUCUGAGAUGAGCACCUAACAAGCUAAAAUUAAUAAUUUAAGGGGUAUGACUAAAUUUUUGGAGGUGGAGCUUAACUUCCAGGUUGAGUUCAUUGCAGCCAAAGAGUCUAGGAUUCUCGUGCUUGAUAUUGGGUUGGCUAAGGCUAAUGAAACAAUUAAUGAAGUCAAGGAAAAAAGUAAAGAGCUGUAGGCUGAGACUUUAUCUAAAUCCAACUAUAUUCUUAAGCAGCAGUCUACUAUUGCAAAGGACGUUGAAGCAUCUGGCCACCUUCAAAGAGAUUUGAAGCGGGUUCAAGAUACUUUAUCUACUAUUGAGGAAGCUUCUGCCAAGAAGGAUUGUGAAAUUUUGAAUCUUAGGUCUCAACUAUCAGAAUCCAAAAUUCUUGUUAAAACUCACGAGGAGUGAUUAACGCUAUGGAGGAAAGCAAGGAGGAGAUUCAUGCUCAAGUAAGGAGUCUAGAGGCAACCGUUGCCAAGCUGGAAACUGAGAAAAUUAGGGCUAAGACUAAGGAGAGAUUGAAAGUUGCUGCCUACUUUAAGGCUUAGUUUGAAACUAAUCUUGUUGUCGAUAGAGCCAAUACCAAGGAGGCUUCGAUCUGAUAUGCGAUGAAUGCAGUAUAUACUACUUAUCCAGACUUGGAUUGGUCUAAGAUUGAACCUCACUUUACUCCAGCUACUCGCAUUGCCCUAUAUUGCAAUAUUAAGGGCUCAAUAUAAGAAGAAAACUACCCUAGAGGUAGUAGCUCUACUCCUCCUGCUUCCAAGAUUCCUUCUACCAGCAAAUAAUACUUCUUUUUUUUCUUAGCAUUUUGUUCUUUCCGUAAGAUUUUCUAGAAUUUUUGACGUAAUCUGGGAAUUUGGGAAGCAUGUAAACAUUUUAAUGAAUGAAGAAUUUUAUUUCAUUAAUUCUUCGUCUUUUUAACUUAUACUCACAUGGCUUGACAAUGUUUCUGGAUAAAACUAUCAUGGCUUGAUGAUGUUUCUGGAUAAAAUUCACAUGGCUUGACGAUGUCUCUGAAUUAACUUCAUCAAACCUUUUGUGUGUUUUUCUGUUUCUGGCUUGAAAUUUUUUAAUUUAAGGAAUUUCAAAAUACAUAACUCUUCAUCUUAUUAAUUAUCUCUUCUCCUCCCAAGUCUAACUAAUUUGUCAGACGAAAAUAGUUGGACUUUAUAUUUCAAUGUUUUUUUUGAUGAUCUUUUUUCUAUUUUUGAAUUUCUCAAACUUUGAGGGGAGAUAGAUUUGAUUCCACUAAUAUGAUUGCUCUUCUGCUUCAUACUCUUUAUCAAAUUCUCUUAGGUUCCCUAAAACUCAUAUGGGCUUCUUAACUAUUAAGCCAGGGCUUUCCCACUAGUUUUUACAUUCUCAUUCUAUUUAUGUACACCCAUU